rnacentral:rRNA from 1 species
GCUUAGAGUUUGAUCCUGGCUCAGGAUGAACGCUGGCGGUAUGCUUAACACAUGCAAGUCGAACGGAGUACUUCGGUACUUAGUGGCGGACGGGUGAGUAACGCGUGAGAAUCUGCCUUCAGGAUGGGGAUAACAGUGGGAAACCAUUGCUAAUACCCAAUGAGCCGAGAGGUAAAAAAUUUAUUGCCUGAAGAGGAGCUCGCGUCCGAUUAGUUAGUUGGUGGGGUAAAGGCUUACCAAGACGGCGAUCGGUAGCUGGUCUGAGAGGAUGAGCAGCCACACUGGGACUGAGACACGGCCCAGACUCCUACGGGAGGCAGCAGUGGGGAAUUUUCCGCAAUGGGCGCAAGCCUGACGGAGCAAUACCGCGUGAGGGAGGAAGGCCUUUGGGUUGUAAACCUCUUUUCUUAAGGAAGAAGAUCUGACGGUACUUAAGGAAUCAGCAUCGGCUAACUCCGUGCCAGCAGCCGCGGUAAUACGGAGGAUGCAAGCGUUAUCCGGAAUUAUUGGGCGUAAAGCGUCCGCAGGCGGCACUAUAAGUCUGCUGUCAAAGACCGCAGCUCAACUGCGGAAAGGCAGUGGAAACUGUAGAGCUAGAGUACGGUAGGGGUAGAGGGAAUUCCCAGUGUAGCGGUGAAAUGCGUAGAGAUUGGGAAGAACACCAGUGGCGAAAGCGCUCUACUGGGCCGUAACUGACGCUCAGGGACGAAAGCUAGGGGAGCGAAAGGGAUUAGAUACCCCUGUAGUCCUAGCUGUAAACGAUGGAUACUAGGCGUAGCUUGUAUCGACCCGAGCUGUGCCGAAGCUAACGCGUUAAGUAUCCCGCCUGGGGAGUACGCACGCAAGUGUGAAACUCAAAGGAAUUGACGGGGGCCCGCACAAGCGGUGGAGUAUGUGGUUUAAUUCGGAUGCACGCGAAGAAACUUACCAGGGCUUGACAUGUCGCGAAUCUGAAGGAAACCUCAGAGUGCCUUCGGGAGCG